rnacentral:rRNA from 1 species
UACGUAGGGUGCGAGCGUUGUCCGGAAUUAUUGGGCGUAAGGAGCUCGUAGGCGGUGUGUCACGUCGGCCGUGAAAACCUGCAGCUUAACUGUGGGCGUGCGGUCGAUACGGGCAUCACUGGAGUUCGGCAGGGGAGACUGGAAUUCCUGGUGUAGCGGUGAAAUGCGCAGAUAUCAGGAGGAAUACCGAUGGCGAAGGCAGGUCUCUGGGCUAUAACUGACGCUCAUGCACGAAAGCGUGGGGAGCAAACAGG